UUCCUGGCUCAGAACGAACGCUGGCGGCAUGCCUAACACAUGCAAGUCGAACGGACGAAUUUGGUUCGCCAAGUUCGUUAGUGGCAGACGGGUGAGUAAUACAUAGGAAUCUGCCUCGUAGAGAAGGAUAAUCGUUGGAGACAGCGACUAAUACUUCAUAUUGCCGAGAGGUGAAAGAUUUUAUCGCUACGAGAUGAGCCUAUGCAGGAUUAGCUAGUUGGUGGGGUAAAGGCCUACCAAGGCUGUGAUCUUUAGUUGGUCUGAGAGGAUGAUCAGCCACACUGGAACUGAGAUACGGUCCAGACUCCUACGGGAGGCAGCAGUGGGGAAUUUUUGACAAUGGGCGAAAGCCUGAUCGAGCAAUGCCGCGUGAGUGAUGAAGGCCUUAGGGUUGUAAAGCUCUUUUAGUAGCGAUGAUAAUGACAGUAGCUACAGAAAAAGUCCCGGCUAACUUCGUGCCAGCAGCCGCGGUAAUACGAAGGGGGCUAGCGUUACUCGGAAUUACUGGGCGUAAAGCGUGCGUAGGUUGUUUUGUAAGUUGGUAGUUAAAUUCUCGAGCUCAACUCGAGGCCUGAUAUCAAAACUGCAAGACUAGAGUACUGGAGAAGAUAGUGGAAUUCCUAGUGUAGAGGUGGAAUUCGUAGAUAUUAGGAGGAACACCAGAGGCGAAAGCGACUAUCUGGCCAGAGACUGACACUGUUGCACGAAAGCGUGGGGAGCAAACAGGAUUAGAUACCCUGGUAGUCCACGCAGUAAACGAUGAGUGCUAGGUGUUGGGACUAAGGUCUCGGUGCCGUAGCUAACGCGUUAAGCACUCCGCCCGAAGAGUACGGUCGCAAGAUUAAAACUCAAAGGAAUUGACGGGGACCCGCACAAGCGGUGGAACAUGUGGUUUAAUUCGAUACUACGCGAAAAACCUUACCAGGUCUUGACAUGAUAGUCGUAUCCUUGUGAAAGCGAGGAGUCAUUUAGUUGGACUAUCACAGGUGUUGCAUGGCUGUCGUCAGCUCGUGUCGUGAGAUGUUGGGUUAAGUCCCGCAACGAGCGCAACCCUUUCCCUUAGUUACCAACGGUUCGGCCGGGGACUUUAAGGGUACUGCUAGCGAAAGCUGGAGGAAGGUGGGGAUGAUGUCAAGUCAGCAUGGCCCUUAUGACCUGGGCCACACACGUGUUACAAUGGUGAUUACAAUGGGCUGCAAUAGGGCGACCUAAAGCCAAUCCUAAAAAAUCAUCUCAGUUCGGAUUGCACCCUGCAACUCGGGUGCAUGAAGUCGGAAUCGCUAGUAAUCGCAGAUCAGCAUGCUGCGGUGAAUACGUUCCCGGGUCUUGUACACACUGCCCGUCACUCCGUGGAAGUUGGUCUUGCCUUAAGUACAUGUGCUAACCGCAAGGAGGCAGUGUACCACGGUAAGGCCGAUAACUAGGGGGAAGUCGUAACAAGGUAGCCGUAGGGGAACCUGCGGCUGGAUCACCUCCA
rnacentral:rRNA from 1 species